rfam:Mycobacterium kumamotonense strain Roo Mkuma_contig000004, whole genome shotgun sequence.
GCACUCGACGCGGGAGAGUUCUGCGGCAGCCAGCCGCAGACGCCGAAGGAGCAACACCUCUCCGACAACCUCUCAGGCCCACGGACCGCCCGGGAUUC